GUAGGUGGCAAGCGGUGUCCGGAAUUAUUGGGCGUAAAGCGCGCGCAGGCGGUUCUUUAAGUCUGAUGUGAAAGCCCACGGCUCAACCGUGGAGGGUCAUUGGAAACUGGAGAACUUGAGUACAGAAGAGGAAAGCGGAAUUCCACGUGUAGCGGUGAAAUGCGUAGAGAUGUGGAGGAACACCAGUGGCGAAGGCGGCUUUCUGGUCUGUAACUGACGCUGAGGCGCGAAAGCGUGGGGAGCAAACAGGAUUAGAUACCCUGGUAGUCCACGCCGUAAACGAUGAGUGCUAAGUGUUAGGGGGGUUUUCCGCCCCCCUUAGUGCUGCAGCUAACGCAUUAAGCACUCCGCCUGGGAGUACGGCCGCAAGGCUG
rnacentral:rRNA from 1 species